UACGUAGGUGGCAAGCGUUGUCCGGAAUUAUUGGGCGUAAAGCGCGCGCAGGCGGUUUCUUAAGUCUGAUGUGAAAGCCCACGGCUUAACCGUGGAAGGUCAUUGGAAACUGGGAGACUUGAGUGCAGAAGAGAAGAGCGGAAUUCCACGUGUAGCGGCGAAAUGCGUAGAGAUGUGGAGGAACACCAGUGGCGAAGGCGGCUCUUUGGUCUGUAACUGACGCUGAGGCGCGAAAGCGUGGGGAUCAAACAGG
rnacentral:rRNA from 1 species